GAUGAACGCUGGCGGCGUGCCUAAUACAUGCAAGUCGAGCGAACGGACGAGAAGCUUGCUUCUCUGAUGUUAGCGGCGGACGGGUGAGUAACACGUGGAUAACCUACCUAUAAGACUGGGAUAACUUCGGGAAACCGGAGCUAAUACCGGAUGACAUUUUGAACCGCAUGGUUCAAAAGUGAAAGACGGUCUUGCUGUCACUUAUAGAUGGAUCCGCGCUGCAUUAGCUAGUUGGUAAGGUAACGGCUUACCAAGGCAACGAUGCAUAGCCGACCUGAGAGGGUGAUCGGCCACACUGGAACUGAGACACGGUCCAGACUCCUACGGGAGGCAGCAGUAGGGAAUCUUCCGCAAUGGGCGAAAGCCUGACGGAGCAACGCCGCGUGAGUGAUGAAGGUCUUCGGAUCGUAAAACUCUGUUAUUAGGGAAGAACAUAUGUGUAAGUAACUGCGCACAUCUUGACGGUACCUAAUCAGAAAGCCACGGCUAACUACGUG
rnacentral:rRNA from 1 species